GACGAACGCUGGCGGCGUGCUUAACACAUGCAAGUCGAACGGAAAGGCCCUUCGGGGUACUCGAGUGGCGAACGGGUGAGUAACACGUGGGUGAUCUGCCCUGCACUUUGGGAUAAGCCUGGGAAACUGGGUCUAAUACCGAAUAGGACCACGCGCUUCAUGGUGUGUGGUGGAAAGCUUUUGCGGUGUGGGAUGGGCCCGCGGCCUAUCAGCUUGUUGGUGGGGUAAUGGCCUACCAAGGCGACGACGGGUAGCCGGCCUGAGAGGGUGACCGGCCACACUGGGACUGAGAUACGGCCCAGACUCCUACGGGAGGCAGCAGUGGGGAAUAUUGCACAAUGGGCGCAAGCCUGAUGCAGCGACGCCGCGUGAGGGAUGACGGCCUUCGGGUUGUAAACCUCUUUCACCAGGGACGAAGCGUAAGUGACGGUACCUGGAGAAGAAGCACCGGCCAACUACGUG
rnacentral:rRNA from 1 species